CUGCUCCUUCCUUCCGCUUUCCGUUGCUUUCACUGAGCUUGAAGCCCACUCGAACGACGAAGCCGUUCAGUGAAGGAAAACAAAAGGACGAGAUGUCGAGCGCAGGUCGGCUGUCGGGGGCGUGCCUCAAAUGCUUGCUGGUGACCUUCGCCGUCACCUCAGCGCUGUGCGUCUCCGGCCCCGCCCUCUACUGGCGCUUCAAGAAAGGCUUCGCCACCGCCCGAUCUCUCUCUACCUCCUCCACCCUUCCCGGAUGCGCCCCUUGCAUCUGCGAUUGCCCGCCGCCGCUCUCUCUCGACGCCGUCGCACCUGGAUUGUUGAACCUCUCUGUGACAGAUUGUGGGAAAAAUGAUCCUGAGCUCAGCAAGGAGAUGGAGAAGCAGUUUGUGGAUCUCCUCACAGAGGAAGUGAAGCUACAAGAGGCUGUUGCUGAGGAGCAUGCUCAUCACAUGAAUGCAAGCCUUCUCGACGCCAAGAAAUCAGCGUCUCAGUACCAGAAAGAGGCUCAGAAGUGCAUUGCGGCAACUGAGAUAUGUGAGGAGGCUAGAGAACGAGCUGAGGCAUCCCUGAGGAAGGAAAAGAAGACAACAGCUCUUUGGGAACGACGAGCCCGUCAACUAGGGUGGCAAGCUGCAUGAGCCAAGUUUUCAGUAACUGCUCCAGAACAUCGCUCGGUGACAGUAACUGCAUAAAGCGGACUAUUUAGAAUCAAAAUAUCAAAAUAUCAAAAUUUGCAAAAUGUAGAGUUCAAUCAGAUUCAGUUAACUAACAUGAAGACUUGUUAUUUGUUGUGUAUUUGAUUAGUUAUUAGUUGGAUUUGGACGUGUGUUAUCUUUACAAGGAACAGGAAGAAAUCUCCUAAUCAUUAUUAAGCCGGUCGGACUCUGGCGGUUUAUUUUCCUUGGCCUCGAAUUAAACCGGGCGUAGGCGUUAGAGGUUGGCGGAGUUACCAACUCCAUCGGUUCGGCCAUCGAUUUCAACUCUCCGUGAUAGAAGUUCUCGUCCCGGAAACGCGAAGCAACCUUCGUUCUCGCUUACCCUCGCCGCUUCGAUCAACGCGUCGAUCUUGCCGUCGAUCUCUGGUGAGCGGGCAUGGAGGCGUCCUCAUGGGACGCCCUUAGGAAACAGAACAAUUAGGUGCACAAAGCUCCCGUCAGUGCAAGUCCAUAGAAGGGUCGGACUACAUUGGGUCUAUUGUACCCAAUACAAAAAACAACACUGCCAUAUGCAAAAACAAAAAAAAAAAGGAAGAAGAAAAAGAAGAAAAUGGAAAAAUGAUAACAAACUAUGUACCAAGGGAAAAAAAGGUGUGUAUGUCAAACCAUUGUCUAUUGAUGCUUUAUUUGAUAUAUAUGUUGAUCUUGUAUUUUUAAACAAUUGACUUUGUUUGAUGGAUAUGUAUAUCUUGUAUUGUCGUUAUUAGAUGCUCAAUGCAAGAUGUAGAUGGUAACCAAAGAAAUUUUAUUUGAUGAUUUAUUCUUUGCAUAGAGCUCAAUGCAAGGAUAAAAUUUAUGGAGCAAACGCCAUUAGUUAGGUUUACAACGGUUUUCUGUAGUUGUGACUAAGGGCAUCCACAGUGGUUAGAGCCUAUUGAGAGCUCUUUCGUUGUCAUAUCUACGCCACAUCAAAAGUUAAAAACCUCACACCCC